UGGAUUUGUGGCGGAAGACACAGCUUGUCCGAAAGCCGUUGGUCAAAAUUGCAAAUCAGCGACAGAAUGUACUUCAAACGCAGAUUGCGAUACAACUGAAAAAUGUGCAUGUAAAGAUGGCCUCAAGAAUGUAAACGGGUUAUGUGCACCUUCAUCUGCCGGGAUUCACAGACUUGCAUUUACCAUCUUUGGAGCAUCUCUAUUGGUGACUAUCUUGAUUUUCCUCUAAAGGU
rnacentral:lncRNA from 1 species